rnacentral:lncRNA from 1 species
GGGCCGUGGGAGGGGGCCCGGGACUGUAUACAGCUGUCAAAACGUCUCCAACAGGAGGCUGAGGCCCAGCUGCUCCAGCCUGGCUCAGGCGCCGGGCACGCGGGGAGCACAGUGGACCUAUCAGUGCUGCACCGAGCGGAAUGAGGAAUCCUCCUCCUGCUGGCUGAUGUCCCAGGUUCAGCUUCUCACUGCCUCCCCUCCCCCAGCCUUAAUGGUUCUACUGUUUACACCGUGAUGGAGCUUGCCGCACAAUCGUUCUGCCACGCCCACUGCUGGAACCUGCCGCUUUGCUGUUCGGAGCCAUGCACGUGGUCACCCUGCUACUAGACUCCAGGAUUAUUUGGCGGGAAUCGCCACCCCCCCAUCCCCUCCUUCAUAACUGCGUGUUGGAAUAGUAAAAUUGAACUUUGA